GAUCUAUGGGGGUGACGCCUGAUCUAUAUACACAUAUUAACUACUUUUUCACUCGUAAAGACAACCCGGAAACGUUACAGAUGCAUUCAAUUGUUGUCGUUCACGAACUUCUUAAACUCCUUCAACUCAUGCCAAGCACGAUUCCUCAUUCCCGUAAAUAUCAUCCUUUCAUAUCUCACAGAAUAUGAUUGAGCUACUGAAAUCUCAUGGCAGUUUAUCUUAUAUUCAAUGUUUCUCGAUGCGUUUAGGGAGAUGGGUGAAGUUGUGUCGGUUCGUUUCUGUAGGGAUAUGGCACUUGGAGAUCGCAUUAAUUUGUCAAUUUCACCAGUUUCCAAGAUGGGAUUAGAGGACCGGGAAGAACAAAAGUGUUGUCUUUUUUUCCAGAAAAUCUGUAAUUAGGCUGAGCUUCGAUGCAGAGGCUGGCAAUGAGUUCACAACUCUGCUCUGUCUCAGAUUUGGUGAAAGAUUAGUCGACUAGAGAGCGAAUAUAGAGGCUUGGCAAUUGCUUGCUCGAUCUAUAGUUGUUUUCACGUCGAUUUGAUUUUAAUUUUUUUUUUGUAGGAUGCUGGAAAAGAUGUGUUGGAGAGCUAUUCAAGAGGACUGACGAUGUUCUCUAUGUGGACAAAACCAUGAGAGGUAUUGAAUAAGUUAAUAGGGUUUAGACUAUACGUCUACGUUUCUUCUUUUUCUUAUGUUCUCUUAUGCCUCCUAUAAAUUAAAUUUAGAUUUUUUAAAAUAUGUCAAGCAUGGAAAAAUAUAUUCAGUUUCUUUUACUCAAAUUCUGGGUAUAAUAAGCCAUGUUCAUCAAGAAGGAAGGGAACAACGACCCAAGUUUCUUUGCUCCUUUGAUUGUCACUUUCCAGAGAUCUCUCAUGAUGCAACAGUAGACCCACUUGAGCUGUCACCGCCCACUGAACAAUUGUAAGUCCUAUCAUUCCGUAUGACCCUCACUGGACUUUUUAGCCAACGAGUGGCUCAAAGAUUGCCCCUGUCACUGCUGUUUGAAGCAUUGCUUCUUGAUGGACCUGAGCUUAACCCGUCUUCCAAAAGCCUCCAUGGGUCACCCACAUCCCUGCUGUCUGGUUCUUACUGUUGACACGGGGAGUUUAUUUGAUUGAGCUCAGCAGAAGAUCUCGAGGGUCGAACAAGUGUGAGUGCGGUCAGCUGAACAGAUGUGGCUGACUCGAGAGAGAUAAAUGUAGGAAGGAAGGAGGAUUGGCAUCUGCUCGGAUCCACCAUCUAAUGGUGUUUGGCAACUGCACCCGCAUAAGUUCCUUCUACAUUAUUGUCAAGGAAAAGCCUAGCAACUUCAACGAUCGUAAGUUUCAGUCAACAAGACUGUCUAUGGAGGUUUUAUAGAUUAUUUUUUAGGAACCUAUAACCUUUAUACUGCAUCACAACCGAACAAGAUAGCGUCUUGGAUGAUUCAUUAUGAAAAGACCUUGGUUUUAGCCAAAUUUUGCUGGAGAUUAACCGUCAAAUUAGACAUCAAGAAUGGGUCACUACGGGAAGAACAUACAACAUAAUUUUCAUAAACUACUUGGCUACCAAGCAAACGAACUAAUGUACCCAAAUAUAAUGAGAAUAGUAUAUUAUUUGUUUGAUGCA